ensembl:snoRNA
CGGUUUCCUGGGCAGUGGGCUGAGCCUCCUCCACCUCAUCUCAAAAGAGCCUAGAGUAUAAAGUCCAGGCUUCGUCCCCACGGGAGAGGUGUUCAAGAGAGGAGCCUCAUCAAGGCUGUCCCCGCCUCACUCUU